rnacentral:snRNA from 1 species
GCUGCUCCUCGGCCUUUUGGCUAAGAUCAAGGGUAGUAUCUGUUCUUAUCAGUUUAAGUCUCUGGAUGUUGACUGUUGGUGGGAUUACAC